rnacentral:rRNA from 1 species
UGACGAGUGGCGAACGGGUGAGUAAUACAUCGGAACGUGCCCAGUCGUGGGGGAUAACUACUCGAAAGAGUAGCUAAUACCGCAUACGAUCUGAGGAUGAAAGCGGGGGACCUUCGGGCCUCGCGCGAUUGGAGCGGCCGAUGGCAGAUUAGGUAGUUGGUGGGAUAAAAGCUUACCAAGCCGACGAUCUGUAGCUGGUCUGAGAGGACGACCAGCCACACUGGGACUGAGACACGGCCCAGACUCCUACGGGAGGCAGCAGUGGGGAAUUUUGGACAAUGGGCGAAAGCCUGAUCCAGCAAUGCCGCGUGCAGGAUGAAGGCCUUCGGGUUGUAAACUGCUUUUGUACGGAACGAAAAAGCUUCUCCUAAUACGAGAGGCCCAUGACGGUACCGUAAGAAUAAGCACCGGCUAACUACGUGCCAGCAGCCGCGGUAAUACGUAGGGUGCGAGCGUUAAUCGGAAUUACUGGGCGUAAAGCGUGCGCAGGCGGUUAUGUAAGACAGAUGUGAAAUCCCCGGGCUCAACCUGGGAACUGCAUUUGUGACUGCAUGGCUAGAGUACGGUAGAGGGGGAUGGAAUUCCGCGUGUAGCAGUGAAAUGCGUAGAUAUGCGG